GACGUGAAACCGUUUAGGGGUAAGCCUGAGAAACCCGGAAGAACGAAAGGAAAGAUUCAGCGCGUCUCGCACUCGUGCGAACGACUAUCCGUUGUGACGGACGAAGCGUUCUCGCUUCGUUCGCACCGGCUGUCGUCGACUCGAUGUGAACGCGUGCACUUCUUUCCGAGUAGGACGUCGCGACCCGUUGGGCGUCGAUUUGAGGCUUCGAGUGGAGACCGGACCGAAACGGUUCACGCCGUUACGGAUUCGGACCUCGGACGUUCCCGAUCGACACGCUCGACGGUCAAUAAAGCGCGGAGCGCGUCCUGUACGCGUCCGGCCCGUCGCGAGUGCGUACCGUGUCCGCGGUAAUUCGGACUUUGUGCCGAUGCCGUGCCGGUGCCGCUUUCGCCGGCGGUGUUCUCGGACCGACUCCGGUGUGCUAACGCACACGAACACGCUUGUCGGCGACGCUUUAGCUUUGGGUAAUUUCAGGACCCGUCUUGAAACACGGACCAAGGAGUCUAGCAUGCGCGCGAGUCAUUGGGAUAUUUCGAAACCUAAAGGCGAAAUGAAAGUGAAGGCCGUCUUGUUGCGUGCCUAGGGAUGAUGGGCAAACGGCAUAUCGCCGCUGCCCCGCAAUCCCGGGGCGUCUCUUUCUCAUUGCGAGAUGAGGCGCACCUAGAGCGUACAUGCUGGGACCCGAAAGAUGGUGAACUAUGCCCGGUCAGGACGAAGUCAGGGGAAACCCUGAUGGAGGUCCGUAGCGAUUCUGACGUGCAAAUCGAUCGUAAUGAACUGGGUAUAGGGGCGAUAGACUAAUCGAC
rnacentral:rRNA from 1 species